GUGAGAGACGGUAACACAGUGCAGAGCCUUGCUGUUUGAUGUGAGCCAUUGUGUCGGAGCCAAGCUGCUUCCUGCUGCCACAGAGAAUAAGAGACACCAGUCAUCCCACAUCUUUCUCAGGCUCAUCCCCGCCUUCAGGGCUGCUAUAGUCAAUAUUUACAGUUGAGUAUGAAUCAUGAAGACUUCACAAUAGCAUUCCGAACAUGCUAAAGUAUGUCAGUUACAGAGAGCGAGCAAGGGAAGAAAGAAAGGUGUGAAAUGUAGCACAUGGCUUUCGCAACAGAAUCUGGUGGCGCUCCCAUGACAAGACACCGGGAGACAGGACGGGACAAAUACCACAUGUGCUAACACAGCAACCUCCACCACCCCACCACCACCAGUUGAGCCCUGUCCCGCACGGGGUAGGCUCCUCGCCCCUGCCUCCUAUCUCCGGCAGGACAUGACGGUUCCGGUUACAACUCCCUCGGACUGCCGGACGGGGCCUACGCCAAAGAGAGAGACAUUUCUUUCUGUUUUACAGUUAUCAAAUA